GCCAUGCUGUAGCAUGUGUAAACAUCCUACACUCUCAGCUGUGGACUCAAGGUAGCUGGGAGAGGGUUGUUUACUCCUUCUGCCAUGGACUGAA
rnacentral:ncRNA from 2 species